GCAGUAGUGGUUCAGUAGUAGAAUUCUCAUCUUCCACGUGAGAGACCCAGGUUCGAGUCCCAGCCAAUGCA
rnacentral:tRNA from 1 species